rnacentral:rRNA from 1 species
GCCAGACUCCUACGGGAGGCAGCAGUGGGGAAUAUUGGGCAAUGGGCGCAAGCCUGACCCAGCAAUGCCGCGUGAAGGAAGAAGGCUUUCGGGUUGUAAACUUCUUUGACAGGGGAAGAGCAGAAGACGGUACCCUGAAAACAAGCCACGGCUAACUACGUGCCAGCAGCCGCGGUAAUACGUAGGUGGCAAGCGUUGUCCGGAUUUACUGGGUGUAAAGGGCGUGUAGCCGGGGAGGCAAGUCAGGUGUGAAAUCUGGAGGCUCAACCUCCAAAUUGCAUUUGAAACUGUUUUUCUUGAGUACUGGAGAGGCAGACGGAAUUCCAGGUGUAGGAGUGAAAUCCGUAGAUAUCUGGAGGAACAUCAGUGGCGAAGGCGACUAUCUGGCACAUAACUGACGCUGAGGAGCGAAAGCGUGGGUAGCAAACAGGAUUAGAUACCCCUGUA